UACGUAGGUGACAAGCGUUGUCCGGAUUUACUGGGCGUAAAGAGCGCGCAGGCGGUCGUUCAAGUCGAGUGUGAAAGCCCCCGGCUCAACUGGGGAGGGUCACUCGAUACUGAUCGACUCGAAGGCAGGAGAGGGAAGUGGAAUUCCCGGUGUAGUGGUGAAAUGCGUAGAUAUCGGGAGGAACACCAGUGGCGAAGGCGACUUCCUGGCCUGUUCUUGACGCUGAGGCGCGAAAGCUAGGGGAGCAAACGGG
rnacentral:rRNA from 2 species